rnacentral:rRNA from 1 species
GGGUAGCUAUGAUCGGACAGGAUAACCGCUGAAGGCAUCUAAGCGGGAAGCCCCCCUCAAAACAAGGUAUCCCUGAGGGCCGUGGAAGACCACCACGUCGAUAGGCCAGAGAUGUAAGCGCAGCAAUGCGUUCAGUUGACUGGUACUAAUUGCCCGAUAGGCUUGAUUUGAUCCAG